GCGGCAUGGGGGGAACCUGAUGCAGCAACGCCGCGUGAGUGAAGAAGGUUUUCGGAUUGUAAAGCUCUGUUAGCAGGGAAGAGGAAGGACGGUACCUGCAGAGGAAGCCACGGCUAACUACGUGCCAGCAGCCGCGGUAAUA
rnacentral:rRNA from 1 species